rnacentral:rRNA from 1 species
UACGGAGGGGGGCUAGCGUUGUUCGGAAUUACUGGGCGUAAAGCGCGCGUAGGCGGCUUUGUAAGUUAGAGGUGAAAGCCCAGGGCUCAACCCUGGAAUUGCCUUUAAGACUGCAUCGCUUGAACAUCGGAGAGGUAAGUGGAAUUCCGAGUGUAGAGGUGAAAUUCGUAGAUAUUCGGAAGAACACCAGUGGCGAAGGCGACUUACUGGACGAUUGUUGACGCUGAGGCACGAAGGCCAGGGGGAGCAAACGGGG